AAGACAGCUGGAUGAUAGCCGGGCUGAAGACUCUGCUUGACUAGCUGAGAGGAGGUGCAUGGCCGUCGUCAGUUCGUACUGUGAAGCAUCCUGUUAAGUCAGGCAACGAGCGAGACCCACGCCAACAGUUGCCAGCAUGUCCUCCGGGAUGAUGGGGACACUGUUGGGACCGCCUCUGCUAAAGAGGAGGAAGGAAUGGGCAACGGUAGGUCAGCAUGCCCCGAAUUAUCCGGGCUACACGCGGGCUACAAUGGUCAGGACAAUGGGUAUCGACACCGAGAGGUGGAGGCAAUCUCCUAAACCUGUCCUUAGUUCGGAUUGUGGGCUGCAACUCGCCCACAUGAAGCUGGAAUCCGUAGUAAUCGCGUUUCAAAUAGCGCGGUGAAUAUGUCCCUGCUCCUU
rnacentral:rRNA from 1 species